UUUAAAUUUAGAGUUUGAUCCUGGCUCAGGACGAACGCUGGCGGCGUGCUUAACACAUGCAAGUCGAGCGAUGAAGCUUCCUUCGGGAAGUGGAUUAGCGGCGGACGGGUGAGUAACACGUGGGUAACCUGCCUCAAAGUGGGGGAUAGCCUUCCGAAAGGAAGAUUAAUACCGCAUAAUAUAAGAGAAUCGCAUGAUUUUCUUAUCAAAGAUUUAUUGCUUUGAGAUGGACCCGCGGCGCAUUAGCUAGUUGGUAAGGUAACGGCUUACCAAGGCAACGAUGCGUAGCCGACCUGAGAGGGUGAUCGGCCACAUUGGAACUGAGACACGGUCCAGACUCCUACGGGAGGCAGCAGUGGGGAAUAUUGCGCAAUGGGGGAAACCCUGACGCAGCAACGCCGCGUGGGUGAUGAAGGUCUUCGGAUUGUAAAGCCCUGUUUUCUAGGACGAUAAUGACGGUACUAGAGGAGGAAGCCACGGCUAACUACGUGCCAGCAGCCGCGGUAAUACGUAGGUGGCGAGCGUUGUCCGGAUUUACUGGGCGUAAAGGGUGCGUAGGCGGAUGUUUAAGUGGGAUGUGAAAUCCCCGGGCUUAACCUGGGGGCUGCAUUCCAAACUGGAUAUCUAGAGUGCAGGAGAGGAAAGCGGAAUUCCUAGUGUAGCGGUGAAAUGCGUAGAGAUUAGGAAGAACACCAGUGGCGAAGGCGGCUUUCUGGACUGUAACUGACGCUGAGGCACGAAAGCGUGGGUAGCAAACAGGAUUAGAUACCCUGGUAGUCCACGCCGUAAACGAUGGAUACUAGGUGUAGGGGGUAUCAACUCCCCCUGUGCCGCAGUUAACACAAUAAGUAUCCCGCCUGGGGAGUACGGUCGCAAGAUUAAAACUCAAAGGAAUUGACGGGGGCCCGCACAAGCAGCGGAGCAUGUGGUUUAAUUCGAAGCAACGCGAAGAACCUUACCUGGACUUGACAUCCCUUGCAUAGCCUAGAGAUAGGUGAAGCCCUUCGGGGCAAGGAGACAGGUGGUGCAUGGUUGUCGUCAGCUCGUGUCGUGAGAUGUUAGGUUAAGUCCUGCAACGAGCGCAACCCUUGUUAUUAGUUGCUACCAUUAAGUUGAGCACUCUAAUGAGACUGCCUGGGUAACCAGGAGGAAGGUGGGGAUGACGUCAAAUCAUCAUGCCCCUUAUGUCCAGGGCUACACACGUGCUACAAUGGUAGGUACAAUAAGACGCAAGACCGUGAGGUGGAGCAAAACUUAUAAAACCUAUCUCAGUUCGGAUUGUAGGCUGCAACUCGCCUACAUGAAGCUGGAGUUGCUAGUAAUCGCGAAUCAGAAUGUCGCGGUGAAUACGUUCCCGGGCCUUGUACACACCGCCCGUCACACCAUGAGAGCUGGUAACACCCGAAGUCCGUGAGGUAACCGUAAGGAGCCAGCGGCCGAAGGUGGGAUUAGUGAUUGGGGUGAAGUCGUAACAAGGUAGCCGUAGGAGAACCUGCGGCUGGAUCACCUCCUUUCUAAGGAGA
rnacentral:rRNA from 1 species